rnacentral:rRNA from 1 species
GACGAACGCUGGCGGCGUGCUUAACACAUGCAAGUCGAACGGUAAGGCCCUUCGGGGUACACGAGUGGCGAACGGGUGAGUAACACGUGGGUGAUCUGCCCUGCACUUCGGGAUAAGCCUGGGAAACUGGGUCUAAUACCGGAUAGGACCACUGCCUGCAUGGGUGGUGGUGGAAAGCUUUUGCGGUGUGGGAGGGGCCCGCGGCCUAUCAGCUUGUUGGUGGGGUGAUGGCCUACCAAGGCGACGACGGGUAGCGGGCCUGAGAGGGUGACCGGCCACACUGGGACUGAGAUACGGCCCUGACUCGUACGGGAGGGGGGAGUGGGGGAUAGUGCACAAUGGGCGCGAGCCUGAUGCAGCGACGCCGCGUGGGGGAUGACGGCCUGCGGGUUGUGUACCUCUUUCAGCACCGACGAAGCGCAAGUGACGGUAGGUGCAGAAGAAGGACCGGCCAACUACGUGCCAGCCGCCGCCGUAA